UCAGCCCCCGAGACGCGGCGGCCGCGUCGAAUGGAAAACUUUCUCGGGCGGGGCGGCUCGGUGGGCCUGAAAAUCAGCACGCAGGGGAGGGGAGCCGAGAGGGCCGCGAGCUGCGCCGCUUAACCCUUGGCGCGCCGCGGCGCCGCAGCAGGGCCGUCCCGGGCCCCGCCGGCCUCCCCGGCCCCGGCCCGCGAGUCUGCGGAGGGAGAGCACGGGCCCCUCCACAGCGGCUGAGCAGCGAGUCGCUAAGUGUACAGAUGUCAGUCUGGCGUUUUACAUGUCAGUAACUGGAAUUCAUUUACAUUUAUUUUCCUAUUGUUUUAUAUCACUUUAUGACAAUGUGCUGCAUAAUAUAAUUUAAAUCUUUAAUGUACAACUAAUUCUCUACCAUUAAUUUGUCAACAUGAUUACUGGAUACGCCACCCGAGGAAGCAGGCUGACUUGAAGUCUGUGUAAGACGUUCCUGUGUUGUUUCCUGACGGUUUACGGAGGAAAUGACAAAGACGUACCGAGCUGUUUUUCUUGGACUGUCUGUAAUCUUAGGAAAACUACAAUUUCGGUGGGAGUCCCCCUUACACUGAGAAAUUCCAGACAUCAGUUGGGAAGAAGACGCACACACAGCCCCCUUAGAGGAGAGAUUAAUUAGGCAGCGCCGGUGAGCGCAGCAGUGGCCGGAGACCGGCGCUGGCCCAGCCCUUGAGCCAAGGGAUCCCCCAGGACGAGGCCCGGGCUGCGCGGGCGCUCGCGGGGGGAAGAGGAGGAGAGCCCGCGCCGGGCCGCACCUACGGGGCUGGGGAAACUUACAAAGGAAAGGGCGGUGCCUGUGGGCAAAGCGUUUCUGGGCCGCCCCAACUUCGGGGUCCCCCCAAACCUUGGCCUCGCUCUCGCGCCAGCGGCCAGAGCCUGACUUGGAAACGCUCUGGUCCUUCCCUCCGCGCCCUGGGAGGACGGGCCCCCCCUGCAGCCCGAGGCCGGGGAUCACGGCCAGGCGGCCGCCCCGUCACAAUUAAAAGGAAGCGACAGUACCCCAAACCUUAUUAAACAUUCAAAUAGAAAAAUUAAGAUAUUCUGGGCAAAAGAAGUGUUUAGACAAAGGCUGUCUGCUUCAAUUUCCCCGUUAAGCGGGGAGCUGGCUGCUCAGAGAGAGAGAGUGACGGUGGAUUCCAUAAAUUAACUGAAAAUCCCUCUUCUCCGGAGCCCAAGUUAUCUCUCCUUUGCCUGCAGCUCUGAUUUAGAAUGGGAGCCGGCUUGUUUACCGGUUUAAUUAAUGCUCCUUUUCAAGCAGGGAGGAGGGGAAGGGAAAUGAAGCGACUUGGUGAUAAACAGGUGUAGCCGGGCCUAGAGCGGGGCUCACCGGGGCCGCGGCCGCUUCCUCAGGCUUGACUGGGCCUGACCCGGCGGAAAAGGUAGAUGGCCCAGUUGGAAGCGCAGUAGAAUGCAUUCUGAUUCCUCCGCGUUGCUGAGCGGAGAAGGAACAGAUCUUGGCGAUAGAGGGCACAGGCGUGUUUCCUUCUCUGUGGCCUCCUCUUCCUCAGCCUUCACCUCCAAAUAUACUCUCUCACUGUAUCACCAGACUGGAGUUCAGUGGCACGAUAUCCGCUCACUACAACCUCUGACUCCCUGGUUCAAGCGAGUCUCCUGCCUCAGCCUCCUGAGUAGCUGGGACUACAGGUGCACACUAUCAUGCCCAGUGUGAAAAUGGACUAAUACAACCGGGAAGAUGGCCACAGAAGAAACAUUCCUUCAGCUCAUAAUGAUUUCAGAAAUAACCCACAUCUGCCCAACAUACCCCCACCUUAGAGGUCUGAAAUUCAACAGGGCACAACCAUCUAGGCCCUCAGCAGCCUUGACCAAGGACUGGAACACAGACUUCCCAGGACUCUUCCCUGAAACCUCAGUUCCAUCUGUGAUGAGUCCCCAGGUCAGGAGGCAGAUUCCGGUACAGCCCACAGGGCUGGAAGCUCAUAUGGCUUUCUGACCACCCAAGCCUUCUGCAGGGACUUUGUUCAGGCAAAGUUGUGACUUGUCUCUGGACAAGGCCAGUGAAGCCUGGCAGGAAGGAAAACAACGGACUCCCCCAAGGAAUCAGGAGGAAUUUUCUUAGCUGAGGCUGCAGACCCCCAGUGGGGUGGGCCCAGAGGCUGCUCAGACAACCAAUGGCGACAUCCCUGGCUGGGAACAAUAGAGCCCCACACCUCAGCUACCUUCUGGGCUCUGGCUUCCCAGUGGUGAAGCCUUAUUAAAUUUGGGAUUACCAUGUGUAAAGCGCAGUCUGAAUUUUGUUUGCUCUGCCAUGUAACUUGCCUUUCUAAACACUCAGUCAGAGCUGCAGUUAAUCUACUGACCAUGGGCUUAACCGGCAGGUGGCCAGGAGGCCCCCACCAAAUUCCUCCUGACCCUUUGUUACCUGGCCUGGAAGGGAGAGGCUUCUUGUUUGGGAAGUGUUUCUCCUCCCCCCGAACAUUUUCAGUAUUAAGAGUCUUUUGUCACCAUAAAUCUGGAGCGGGGAUUAUGACGGGCAGGCUGUCACCCAGAUUGUUUCCUCCAGAGGAUAAUGGGAAAAGUUUGCGGGCUGGCCUAAUGAAACCUUUAUUCCAGGGACAAUGCCAUUUCCAUUAAAUUAAAGCUCAAGCCUUAACAAUGCCCCAGAAUAAACCCCAUUUGAAUAUUUAAUUUGGAAUGGAAGGAGCUGGGUAAACACCUCAGUCCCAUCAGCCCCUUUCUGGAGACCUCUUGCAACAAACUCAAGAGAGAGUCCUGCGUUGUUGAUGUCAGGUUAGCACCUGUUGCUGCCAGUGUCAAAGGUAGAAAAUUCCAAAUCUUUAAUAUUAAAUGGACAAUAAAGAAUGUUAGUCCUAACUGAAAAAAAAUCUAGGAAGUGAAUACUGAUCAGAUAAGUAAUGAACUAAAAUCUGUUUGUUCUGAGCCUUGCAAGCUA